UCGAGAAUUUUUCACAAUGGGCGCAAGCCUGAUGGAGCGACGCCGCGUGGGGGAUGAAGGGUUUCGAUCCGUAAACCCCUGUCAUUUGCGAACAAACCUUGAUUGUGAAUAGCGAUCGAGCUGAUUGUAGCGGAAGAGGAAGGGACGGCUAACUCUGUGCCAGCAGCCGCGGUAAUACAGAGGUCCCAAGCGUUGUUCGGAUUCACUGGGCGUAAAGGGUGCGUAGGUGGUCGGUGAAGUUCGGUGUGAAAGCUCGGAGCUCAACUCCGAAUCGGCAUUAAAAACUCAUCGGCUGGAGGGUCGGAGGGGAGACUAGAAUUCUCGGUGUAGCAGAGAAAUGCGUAGAUAUCGAGAGGAACACCAGUGGCGAAGGCGAGUCUCUGGACGACUCCUGACACUGAGGCACGAAAGCCAGGGGAGCA
rnacentral:rRNA from 1 species